GGGGGGAUGGAGUCCAGGACUUUGUAGCUUGUGAGUUGCCAUGGAAACUGACGCAGCCCAGGGAACAGGCUCCGCAGCCGCCGCUGCCCUGCCUCCUCCCGCUUGGACUCCCCAUCUCUCUCCCUUGCUUUAGAGGGACCUGGGACAGCUCCUGAAGAACAAGCCCGGUGGGCUCAGCCUACCUGCUCAGUGGGCAGGUAAUGAAUAGUCUGUCUCCUAACGGUUUUAAAGAACAACACAGUCCUAUCUGCAUAGCAGAAGAAUCCCUUCCGGGUCACAGCGUUAAUGGACCGGGUGAAAAAGGCACAAAUGGACCAGACCAAAGCCGGGACUCCGACAGCAGAAAAGAUCCCACAUGGAACUCAUGUUUGUGGAAGAAAUUAAAACCACAAGACAGCAGACGGAGACACCUCCAAAAUGUUAGGCCGAGGGGACAUGACCAGCCAGCCAGACUACAGUCAAAUGUACAGCAGGGAAGCAGGGAGGCUGACGCUGUACAAACGUGAGGCAGGAUAAAAAGGGAAGAAUAGGGAGACUCGGGAAAGGAAAGAGCCCCUCCCUAGAGAGCCUGCUCCAAGUCUCAAACCAGCUGACAGUCAAGAAUUCCAGUACAGGCUGGACUUGGUGUGGAUGCCUUUAAUAAUCCCAGCACUCUGGAGGCAGAAGCAGGUGGAUCUGGAUCUCCUCCAGUUCAAGUCAGCAUGCUUUGCAAAGUGAGUUCCAAUAAAGGCCUAAUCUAAAAAAAGGAAUUUUCAGCACUAUUAACAUUCACCAUCAAUGUUGCCAACAUAGAAUAUCCAUUUUAUAUAGAGGUGUUUCAUAUAAUAAUGUUAAAAUAGCAAUGGGUCAUGCUUAAGGCCUAAAUGUAUAUGACCUCUGUGCUGGCUAGUUUUAUGUCAACUUGACACAAGUUACAGUUAUCUGAAAAGAGGGAAACUCAAUUGAGUAAAUGCUUCCAUAAG